rnacentral:lncRNA from 1 species
CAAAAUGCUCCUCCAAUGCCAAAAACGACCAACACUUUCCCCAGUCGAAUUCUCAAAGCUAGAGUUUUCCCCCAAACGGCACAACACUUUCUCCCAUUCAAAACUCAAUUUUCUCCUAAUAUCUCUCCCCUUAUCCCUCCUUGAAUUACUCCACCGAUUUCUCCUCAACUCCCCCAACAACUCCAUUCAAAUUCUAUUCAAACUCCCCUUAGUUGUGUUUCAAUCCAACUCCACUACCUACACAGCUCAAGCAGCAAAAAGAAAAAAAACUCCAUUGCGCAACCCAAGACUUGAACCUCAAAUCUCACCGUUACACAACACGCCACCUUGCCACCAAACCACAAGCUAUUUCUG